AUGCAGGAGCUCUGUCACUCAUCGAUAUGCCACCCUCUCAUCUUCCAAAGAGGACACGUGACAGUUCUGAGGAGCAGGAUGAAGAGCUGGAGAUACCAGUUUGAUUUCCAGAUUUCGACUGAGAGGUUAAAAGAACAGAAUUCUCUCAGAUCAAAUGCGAGACAGUCUCCCACUCUGAGAAUGGCAAGGCUAGAUCAAUCACUGCAGGCAGUGCCCAAGUUUAUCGUAGCCUAUACUGAGAUGUUUCAGCCUUCCCGUGACUCAAUAGGAUACAGACUUACAAAAUAAAUGCUGAAAGGAUUACAUGAGAGUCUGGACAGGCAGAAAAAAAAAACAGCCUUCUGCAGUGUAAUCUGCCAGAAUGGAGAAAAGAGAUCUGUUCGAACCCGUAUCCCAGCUGGUAAGAGGAAUCCCAGCUGGAACAGCAAGCUUACAUAAGAAAAUACUAUUUUUGUAAAAAAUAAAAACUGAUUGUAAAGAAUAAAACAUUAAAGUACCCCCCCCCCCUUCUUUAAUAGCCAAAAA
rnacentral:lncRNA from 1 species